GACGAACGCUGGCGGCGUGCCUAAUACAUGCAAGUAGAACGCUGAAGGAGGAGCUUGCUCUUCUGGAUGAGUUGCGAACGGGUGAGUAACGCGUAGGUAACCUGCCUGGUAGCGGGGGAUAACUAUUGGAAACGAUAGCUAAUACCGCAUAAGAGUAGAUGUUGCAUGACAUUUGCUUAAAAGGUGCAAUUGCAUCACUACCAGAUGGACCUGCGUUGUAUUAGCUAGUUGGUGGGGUAACGGCUCACCAAGGCGACGAUACAUAGCCGACCUGAGAGGGUGAUCGGCCACACUGGGACUGAGACACGGCCCAGACUCCUACGGGAGGCAGCAGUAGGGAAUCUUCGGCAAUGGACGGAAGGCUGACCGAGCAACGCCGCGGGAGUGAAGAAGGUUUUCGGAUCGUAAAGCUCUGUUGUAAGAGAAGAACGAGUGUGAGAGUGGAAAGUUCACACUGUGACGGUAUCUUACCAGAAAGGGACGGCUAACUACGUG
rnacentral:rRNA from 1 species